rnacentral:precursor_RNA from 1 species
GGAAACUUCCAAAGAGAACGCAUGAUCCAAUUUAUAAACUCAGAUCGAAUUUUCCAUCGAAGGUACAUAUAAGAAUCAAUUAGUCAGUUUCAGAUCGAAUUAAUUAAACAACAUGGAUCAAUGCGAUUCCUUUGGAAGUUUC